GCGACAGAACCUGGAGAGGACGCCUUC
rnacentral:piRNA from 1 species